rnacentral:rRNA from 1 species
CGGGACGGGUGAGUAAUGUCUGGGAAACUGCCCGAUGGAGGGGGAUAACUACUGGAAACGGUAGCUAAUACCGCAUAACGUCGCAAGACCAAAGAGGGGGACCUUCGGGCCUCUUGCCAUCGGAUGUGCCCAGAUGGGAUUAGCUAGUAGGUGGGGUAACGGCUCACCUAGGCGACGAUCCCUAGCUGGUCUGAGAGGAUGACCAGCCACACUGGAACUGAGACACGAUCCAG